AAUCAAGAGCAGUUCAACGGCGCAUGACUUUGGAAGCUUCUUGAACACGUCAACAUCUAUAUUUUGAAACGACAGCGUUUCGGUUGGAGGACGUUUAAAGAUCAGGUACGCACACGUGUAAGGUGGAUAGCUAGAGAGAGAAAAAUAAAUGGCCGUUUCGUAAAUGAACAAGAACCACCGCGUAGCGUCCACACUCAAAGUGGAUGAAUGAAUUUCCAGCCUGUAGAAUAGAGUUUCUUUUGCUGAGCUACACGGCACAGGUUUUUGGCACCACAUGUGUAUUUUCUUAUCUACUACUAAUAUUUGUUUAAUUCUAAAAAUAAAAUAUAUUUGUUUACUAUUUUUCUUUUAUUUAUUUUGCUUUGAAUAUUAUAUUUUGAUACAGGUUAAAUAUCAUGGUCAACGUGCAUUGUUAUAUGCAGAAAUUUGGAUUCGAACUUCGGACACUCAACUUAUUCUCCUUGAAAUUCUAGUCAUUAGGCUAUCUAAUAAAAAAAAAUAUCAUGGUUAACGUAGUUUAGUUUGUUUAACCACUUUCUCAACAAAAAAAAAAAGUCAACCAUUUACCAAACACAAAAAAUUGCGAUUUUGAAAGUCAUUAAGAAUGAUUUUUCGGUGUACAUCUAAACAUAAAAUGCGG
rnacentral:lncRNA from 1 species